CGGCAAAGUCGCUGUAAACAGUGUCGACUUUCAGCCGUGCGCCGUGUAUUUAUGACUCACGCAGUUGUCCGGAGGAAAAACUCUGCAGCCCUCAGCCAGAUUUGAAAAAUGAAAACUAAAAUGAACUUCAUGAAUCAACUGAUCAGAGAUACCAAGUUUCUGCCAGAGAAUAUCUAAAAUAUGAGCACAUGAAGGAAGAAUAGCAGAUGCUCUUUUGGUGUGUUCAUCAAAGCAUCAGCCCAGCCUCAUGGAUUGUCACAGCUACCGAGGAAAGAAAGAACUGUAAACUUUGGCAUCGAAGAAUUUGGUGAAAAAGGCAUUCACUGUGGGAAGUGGAAACAUAAUAAGCUAUGGAUUGCUCCAGACCAGAGUCUUUAAAGAGAAGUGUGGCAUAUGACUGACAGAAGUUGAUUGUUUCAUACUGCUGUUUUUUAAAUCCUGCUUCAUAACAUUUUCACAGCAAGGAAUGUUAUAUACAGAGGUGUCAAUGAAGUUUUGCCAAUUAAUUCAUCUGAAGUAUGGUUCUGCCCACAAUAGAUAAGGUUUCUUCAUAACCUAACUUCUACAUAAUCUAGUUAAUGGUGUUUUACAGUAAAGUGUGACCAUAUUUAUUAAAGAAACUCUGUAUAAAAUUCUGGUUUUGCAUAAUCUAAUGCACAAAAAUGCAUUAUGUACACAAAAGUGUCUACAUCCAGUACUCAUAUGCUAUAACGAAUUGAAAUUUUGGACAGCAAUACAAAGCAAUGCAACUAUUGCAUCUAACUGUGGUACCUCUGCCUCCAUGUCUGAUGAAUGACUGCAUUCAUCAGCAGCUGCCUCUCAAGGAGAGGCUCUUGACUCCUGCACUGCUGAAACUCAUGCCCAUAAAGUCUGAGGCUAUCAAAAACUAGUGAUUCAAAGAAAGUUCAGGAUGUUCCAAUAAUCAUCAUAUCCAUUUUGGCAACUGUUCUGCUUUAUGUUCUGCCUACGGAAAAUGUGUAUUAAUAAAGAAGGAGUGAGAAAGAUCAGCAUAAACAAAUAUGUCUAACCGCUAAUAAUAGUACUGACAAAAUAAAAAUCUACCAAUUAAGGUAAAGUAUAAAGAAAAAAGUUGCAGGUUUGAUGCCAUCAUUCACUUGCAUAACACCACCCCUAUAAGCUGCAUAUACGGUCUGCUUUUUCAAUGGAAAUGCUGAAAUUUGGCCCUUGGAAAUGUAGCCUCAAUGAGUUAGUAAGACACCCCAUCAAGCUGGCAAACAGGAACUCAUGGGUUUGGAUCCUAGCUGUAUUUCUGACAGACCUGGCUGGGUUUACUGAGAGGAGAAGUGGUGGGUUUGGCUGCAGCUCUUCCUCAUUUGCUUCCUUAAUGUUUCCUCACCUGUGAGCAUAUAGAGGAACCCAUGGGACUUCUCUGUCCCAGGAGCUGUGCUCCUAAAGGCGAAGAAAGCGCCACGCAUAAAUUAUGUGUACUAAUGCACUGUUCAUCCCACACUCCCCAUGGUGUCCAUAAUCACCCAGCAGGGCUCACUGUGUGUUUCAAACUAACAUCAGCCACCGAGUCCAAACCAACCUGCCCAGUCGCUUUGCACUAUCUCAAUAUUGACACUCAACCCAUCGUGCUGCAUGACAGUGAACAGCUGACAGAAUAAAUCAGGGAUCUUGGGUAUGAUAAGAACUCACUUGACCUUACUUGACUUGACCUAUAAUAUCUUGUUGGCAUGGUAGGAGUAGGCUUUCUCUAGUAAAGUAAUCAUAUCCUCUCUGAUUUUUCUUCAUCCUAUCCAGAGCACAAUGUUGUGAGUGCAUGGAGUGAGGGGAUUUGUGAGGGAGGAAAUGCCUUUUCCUUUUUGAAGAUUAUUCUAGGAAACUGCAGUAUCAAUCGUUAU